AUUGAACGCUGGCGGCAGGCCUAACACAUGCAAGUCGAACGGUAACAGGAAACAGCUUGCUGUUUCGCUGACGAGUGGCGGACGGGUGAGUAAUGUCUGGGAAACUGCCUGAUGGAGGGGGAUAACUACUGGAAACGGUAGCUAAUACCGCAUAACGUCGCAAGACCAAAGAGGGGGACCUUCGGGCCUCUUGCCAUCGGAUGUGCCCAGAUGUGAUUAGCUAGUAGGUGGGGUAACGGCUCACCUAGGCGACGAUCCCUAGCUGGUCUGAGAGGAUGACCAGCCACACUGGAACUGAGACACGGUCCAGACUCCUACGGGAGGCAGCAGUGGGGAAUAUUGCACAAUGGGCGCAAGCCUGAUGCAGCCAUGCCGCGUGUAUGAAGAAGGCCUUCGGGUUUUAAAGUACUUUCAGCGGGGAUGAAGGGAGUAAAGUUAAUACCUUUGCUCAUUGACGUUACCCUCAGAAGAAGCACCGGCUAACUCCGUG
rnacentral:rRNA from 1 species